rnacentral:rRNA from 1 species
UGAAAAAACUCACUCAAGCAUAAAAAAGCAGAGACUAAAACUCGUACCUUUUGCAUCAUGAUCUAGCCAGUACACCCAAGCAAAGAGAACUCUAGUUUGAAACCCCGAAACCUUUAACGAGCUACCCCAAGGCCGUCCAAAACAGGACAAACCCGUCUCUGUGGCAAAAGAGUGGGAAGACCUUCAGGUAGAGGUGAAAAGCCUACCGAGUCAGGUUAUAGCUGGUUGCCCAAAAAAUGAAUAAUAGUUCAGCCCCAUAACUUCACCCACGCCAACCACACCACAACAGGCAAAGGGCCACACAUGGGAGUUAGUUAAGGGGGGUACAGCCCCCUAAACAAAGGACACAACCUCAAACAGGAGGCUAAGGAAUAUACUACACAACAAGGCUUAAAGUUUCAGUAGGCCUAAAAGCAGCCACCUAAAAAGAAAGCGUUAAAGCUUAAACCUAACCAAGCCUAACAUCACAUUAAACCCUCCAACGCCCCUUCACAAUAUUGAGCCAUUUUAUGCCACCAUAAAAGAGACCAUGCUAGAACAAGUAAUAAGAAGAAUGAACUUCUCCCCGCACACGUGUAAGUCGAACCGGACAAACCACCGACAAUUAACGAACCCAAAAACAGAGGGCCCAACACAACCACCACUAAAAUCAAGAAAACCACGUCUCCCCUGAUCGUUACCCCUACACAGGUGUGCACCCACCCGAAGGAAAGGCCUAAAGGACAAAAAGGAACUCGGCAAACCAAAACCCCGCCUGUUUACCAAAAACAUCGCCUCCUGCCACCAACCGUAUAGGAGGUCCCGCCUGCCCCGUGACUUACGUUUAACGGCCGCGGUAUUCUAACCGUGCAAAGGUAGCGCAAUCAAUUGUCUUUUAAAUGAAGACCUGUAUGAAUGGCAUAACGAGGGUUUAACUGUCUCUUUUUCCUGGCCAAUGAAACUGAUCUGCCCGUGCAGAAGCGGGCAUAAAAAUACAAGACGAGAAGACCCUGUGGAGCUUCAGACACUAACCAACCAUAACAACAACGAACUGACAACAGACCGAAAAAACUAAUGGUCCUGGUAAAAUGUCUUCGGUUGGGGCGACCGCGGUGAGAAAACAAAGCUCCCGAGUGGACUGGGACCCCCUCCUAAAACCUAGAGCCACACCUCAAAGUCUCAAAACAUUUGACCAAUAAUGAUCCGAUAUCUCGAUCAACGAACAAAGUUACCCCAGGGAUAACAGCGCAAUCCCCUCACAGAGCCCAUAUCGACGAGGGGGUUUACGACCUCGAUGUUGGAUCAGGACAUCCCAAUGGUGCAGCCGCUAUUAA